rnacentral:rRNA from 1 species
GACGAACGCUGGCGGCGUGCUUAACACAUGCAAGUCGAACGGUAAGGCCCUUCGGGGUACACGAGUGGCGAACGGGUGAGUAACACGUGGGUGAUCUGCCCCGCACUUCGGGAUAAGCCCGGGAAACUGGGUCUAAUACCGGAUAGGACCACUGCCUGCAUGGGUGGUGGUGGAAAGCUUUUGCGGUGUGGGAUGGGGCCGCGGCCUAUCAGCUUGUUGGUGGGGUGAUGGCCUACCAAGGCGACGACGGGUAGCCGGCCUGAGAGGGUGACCGGCCACACUGGGACUGAGAUACGGCCCAGACUCCUACGGGAGGCAGCAGUGGGGAAUAUUGCACAAUGGGCGCAAGCCUGAUGCAGCGACGCCGCGUGAGGGAUGACGGCCUUCGGGUUGUAAACCUCUUUCAGCACCGACGAAGCGCAAGUGACGGUAGGUGCAGAAGAAGGACCGGCCAACUACGUGCCAGCAGCCGCAGUAA